rnacentral:lncRNA from 1 species
UCUAAUGAUUAGUUUCCCCCUUUUCGAGAUAUGAUUUGAUUUAUUCUUGUGUCCCGCAUUCCACUACCCUAGCUAGCCUGCCAUCCUUAGGAUCGCUUUGCCGGGUCGGGAUUUCACAGGCCCACCAGCUUCCGCGUGGUUCGUCCUCGAACCAUACGAUCUACUGGAGGGGGUCCGGCUCUGAUACCAACUGUCACGCCCCGACUCUAAUCACUAGAGGAAUUGUCCGCUUUGGCCACGGGGUUGUGCCCCGGCCUAAUCUGGCCAACACAUACACCCGUCCGCACGGUUUUGUCCCGCAGGUGAAAUGGGAAACUUCCCAGGAGGUCACCCAUCCUAGGAUUUCCGUUAAGCGAGCACGCUUAACCCUGAAGUUCUUCCAACUCUCCAGCCAUUCCACC